rnacentral:lncRNA from 1 species
UUAGUUCCUCUUGUGGUUCUAGAUUUUUUGAAUAUUUAUCUUGGCUCUAUUUUUUUGUCCCUCCUAAUAAAUAUGUAAUUCCUUUCUCUGCCUUUUGGUUUCAUUCAACAAGAGUGUGAAUUUGCCUAUUUGAUAAAUGGUGUGAUUUCUGAAUAAAAAAAGGUGUUGUAUUUUUGAUUGAUUAGUUGAUACGAAGAUGGGUCAUUGCUGAGUGUUUCCGGGGUUGAAACAAGAAAGGAAAAAUCCUAGAUACAUGGGUUCUAUUGAACAAAAGUUGAAACUGGGACUCUACUAUGAAGAGAUGAAACUAUUAAAAGAAAUGCAAGAUCAUUCUGGUUAGUAUCUGUUUUCCUACUACAAUAUUUUAUAUUUGCAUAGAAUUGUUUGAGUAGUAGACUGCAUAUUAAGUGGAUUUAAGUAAAAGUGAAAAUUGUAUGGAUUCAUGGUAAAGAUUCUUGAUUCAUUUCUCUUGUGAUCUUCGAAUGGUGAAUUUUUACUAUUUUAACUUGAUUCACUAUAGAGGAAGACACUAAAUUUUGAGCUAUGGCAUACUAGUGUUGGUCCAUUGGUUUCCUUGACUCAGGUUGGAAGCCUCAUGCACUAUUUUUCUUUAUGUCGUUGAACAUGUGAUAAUUAAAAGCCUUUUCCCUUUAUUUACUAAUUUUUCCCCUAUGGACUCGUAUUUUGCUUUAGGCAAUUCGAUAAAUCAAUUCUUUUGAGGAAGAGAAAAAUUUAUGAAGUGUGCCAAAUAUGUAAGAUGGAAGAAGAUGAUGAUAUUGGUUUGUAUGAUUGUUAUAUGCUUUAGAAUAUGGAAUAAAAAUACUAAUAAUUUGGCUAUGCUAAGGUAGUAAGCGGUGAAUGUAAAACAAACUAAAGAUUGUUGAGCAACAGUUCGAUUUUACAUUGCAGUCUUGACAUCAUUUUAUGCACCAACUAUAUGGUAAAGUUACUAACUUCGUUGUACAACCCAUAACACCAAUUGUUAAUAAAGAAUAAUUCGAAUGAAGAAAAUGAUGC